GACGAACGCUGGCGGCGUGCUUAACACAUGCCAGUCGAACGGAAAGGCCCUGCUUGCAGGGUACUCGAGUGGCGAACGGGUGAGUAACACGUGGGUGAUCUGCCCUGCACUUCGGGAUAAGCUUGGUAAACUGGGUCUAAUACCGGAUAGGAACCAUCUUUAGUGUGGUGGUUGGAAAGUUUUUUCGGUGUAGGAUGAGCUCGCGGCCUAUCAGCUUGUUGGUGGGGUAAUGGCCUACCAAGGCGGCGACGGGUAGCCGGCCUGAGAGGGUGGACGGCCACAGUGGGACUGAGAGACGGCCCAGACGCCGACGGGAGGGAGAAGGGGGGAAGAUUGAACGAUGGGCGCAAGCCUGAUGCAGAGACGCCGCGGGGGGGAUGAAGGUCUUAGGGUUGAAAACUCAUUUCGCUAGGGACGAAGCUUUUUGUGACGGUACCUAGAUAAGAAGCACCGGCUAACUACGUG
rnacentral:rRNA from 1 species